UAGAUAGAUAAGCUGAUUUUACAAAAACCUGUUUAUACUAAAAUAGCGUAUUCGUUAACUUGUAUUCAGCGUGUAUCUGUAUAGCAGGUUCUUUGAUUUGAAACCGGUAAAAACGAACUAAAGUUUUCUGUUAUUUUGAUUGAAAACAAACCGCUAUGUUAAUCUGUUUACGUGUUUUUUGUCGCUAAGUAUUCCACUCGACUUGCAAAGAAAUCAACGUAACAUCAAAAAACUACCCUCGUCUAGUUAAAAUUCGUAGAAAAAAUUGACAUUCAAGUAAUUCAUUAGAAUUUUAGUAUCGAUCUUUUUCAGGUACACUAAAUUAUUCAUAAUGUUUUCAAGUUCGGUCAAGGCUAAUAGUUUUUCAUUCGCGCCCGUCGAUAAUGUUUCUAUGUUUUAAUGACGUUUGAUGGCAUGGCGUUGUUGGCUCGUACAAGGCAGUAAGAUAAAGAAGGGGUGGAUUCUGGCUUCAGUUUCCAACUUCUUAAUGAAGUUUGGCGCAACGGAUAUAAUUUCCUUAAAGCGACGCGACGCGGAGGGUUGUAAUUUCGGUGUGUUUGCUGUCUGAACGACGAUAAAAUUACACAAUAUUGUGGCACACAGUAAAAUCGAGUUGUUGCGGAUCAAAAUGGUUUACGCCUUUGGAUUUAGUUUUGGUGUAGUAUUGGUUUUUUAUUUUCUGUUAAUGUGAAUGUGUGUGAUUUGUGGAAUGAGUAUGAUUUGUCCGUCGGAAAUCUAUCUCACGAAAAUUACGAUCCAUUCGAAGAGAAUCUAAAUACUUAAAUAGUAUUUAUUUGUUUUAAAAUUCCCCUUUUUCAUAGUAAGAGUGAUUUGCUAUGUAUUACGUAAUCACUACAUAGUAUAAAACAAAGUCGCUUUCUCUGUCCCUAUGUAUGCUUAAAUCUUUAAAACGACGCAACGGAUUUUGAUGCGGUUUUUUUUAAAAGAUAGUGAUUGAAGUGGAAUGUUUAUAUGUAUAAUAACAUCCAUUAAAUAGUGGAGAAAACAAUAAUAAAUUACAGUUUCCGAAGCGAAGCGAGGGCGGGUCGCUAGUUCAGUUAUAAAUAUACAAAUGUAUAGUUGAGGCCUAAAUAAUACCUCGUUUCUAAAAAAUAACAAGUUCGAAGUUCAAUAUAUGUAUGUACGAGUGUAUCAUUAUACAUAUAUAAUGUAUGAAGUUAAAUAUAUCAGAAACCGCUCCAUUUGUUUUUUUGUCUCUUAAUUAAUGUCUAUUAAUUUGUAUUUGUAACCAAUAUUUUUAUUAAGAAGAGGCCAAUAAGAGACAGCUUAAUUACUGCGCUUAAUUAAUAGGAAAUACAUAUAAAACAAAAUACAUUGAUAAAUUACUGUCUGUCCGUAUAAUAUCGUAAUAAUCUCAUUGAAUGUGUUUUGGAAUUGGAGUAUCGUUAGCAAAUGCUUUUCGAAAAACAUUACAAUGAGACAUCAGAACUCUAAUCUCACUGGUGGUAGGACGCCUUGUGAGUCCGCACAAGUAGAUACCACUACCCUACCUAUUUCUGCCGCUCAGUGGUUAUGAGUUUCGAUUUGAAGGGUGAGACAACGAUCUUAUAAUACAAUCCAAUUGAGAAAUUUACUUUAGGUCUCAAGGUGAGUGGCGGUAUUUAUUUUGUUACGUCUACGGACUCCGGUAACCACUUAACACCCAGAAAGGCCGUGAGCUCGUUCAACCGUAUACUCCUUUGAAAGCAUGUAAAUAUAAAAAGAUCACCUUUGCUGAUUGCAAUCCAAAAGAGAUGUAAUCGUAUAUUUAACAAAAAGACAUAUAUAUACCCAAUGUUAAUUAAGUAAUAGGAAAAUGAAAGAAAUUACAAGCUUCUAACUGCCACAUCGGAUAUCUAGAAAAGGUUUUUUUUUUAUUGCCCUUGUAGACAGACGAGCAUACGGCCCACCUGCUGGUGAGUGGUUACCGUCGCCCAUGGACUUCAGCCAUGGCAGGGGCAGAGCCAAGCCGCUGCCUACCGCUGCCUACCCUCCUAUUUUAGGAAUUAAUACAUUAACAUCAAUGCGAAGUCGAAACAGCUGGCGACAGUUCGCUCUGUUUGCUAAGCGCACACUGGUCCUUUAAGCUGACUACAUGCGUUAAUUAAACAAGCAAACACGGACUAAUUGACCAUAGUUGCAUUAUUAAUUUAAUCAGCACUCUGUUUCUAUAUUUAGCUCGUUAAUGCCAAUCAUUCUAAGUACUUCAAUCAAACAUUUGGAGCGUUGUAAUUAGGUACGUAAUAUAUGAUAUUUUACUGACCAACGAACGUUUGCAAUUAAAAUUUUAAUUUCACAUUCUUUUUAUUUGUCAAUCGCUUUUAAUAAAACAGCCAGUAUUUUAAGCGGGAAUUUGUAAUUAAUCUUGCGUUAUAUUUGAUAAACAUAAAUAAAGCGAAACUCAUGAAUACUAAGUAGGUAUUUGUGCUUGAAACUAAAAAAGCAAAGGGAAAAUUAUGACGUUGACUCCUUAAGUGGUGGUAGGACCUCUUGUGAGUCCGCACGGGUAGGUACCACCACCCUACCUAUUUCUGCCGUGAAGCAGUAAUGCGUUUCGGUUUGAAGGGUGGGGCAGCCGUUGUAACUAUACUUGAGACCUUAGAACUUAUAUCUCAAGGUG